rnacentral:rRNA from 1 species
GAUGAACGCUGGCGGCGUGCUUAACACAUGCAAGUCGAACGGAAAGGCGCGGCUUUUGUGGGGUGCUCGAGUGGCGAACGGGUGAGUAACACGCGAGUAACCCGCCCUUGACUUUGGGAUAACUCCAGGAAACUCGGGCUAAUACCGGAUAGGAGCUCUUGCUCCACGGUGGGGGUUGGAAAGUUUCGGCGGUUGGGGAUGGACUCGCGGCUUAUCAGCUUGUUUGUCGGGUAGUGGUAGACCAAGGCUUUGACGGGUAGCCGGCCUGAGAGCGUGACCGGGCACCUUGGGCCUGAGGGAGGGACCAGUAUGCAAUGGGAGGCAGCAGUGGGGAGCAUUGCGGAGUGGGCGGAAGCGUGAUACGGCAGCGCCGCGUGCGGGAUGACGGCCUACUGGUUAUAAACAGCUUUGGCCUGUGACGAAGCGUGAUUGACGGUAAUGGGUAAAGAAGCACCGGCUAACUACGUG